GAUGAACGCUGGCGGCGUGCCUAAUACAUGCAAGUCGAGCGAACAGACGAGGAGCUUGCUCCUCUGACGUUAGCGGCGGACGGGUGAGUAACACGUGGAAAACCUACCUAUAAGACUGGGAUAACUUCGGGAAACCGGAGCUAAUACCGGAUAACAUGUUGAACCGCAUGGUUCAAUAGUGAAAGACGGUCUUGCUGUCACUUAUAGAUGGAUCCGCGCCGCAUUAGCUAGUUGGUAAGGUAACGGCUUACCAAGGCAACGAUGCGUAGCCGACCUGAGAGGGUGAUCGGCCACACUGGAACUGAGACACGGUCCAGACUCCUACGGGAGGCAGCAGUAGGGAAUCUUCCGCAAUGGGCGAAAGCCUGACGGAGCAACGCCGCGUGAGUGAAGAAGGUCUUCGGAUCGUAAAACUCUGUUAUUAGGGAAGAACAAAUGUGUAAGUAACUAUGCACGUCUUGACGGUACCUAAUCAGAAAGCCACGGCUAACUACGUG
rnacentral:rRNA from 1 species